rnacentral:rRNA from 1 species
UACAGAGGGGGCAAGCGUUGUUCGGAAUUACUGGGCGUAAAGCGCGCGUAGGCGGAUCUGCAAGUCGGGGGUGAAAUCCCGAGGCUCAACCUCGGAACUGCCUUCGAUACUGCGGGUCUCGAGUCCGGGAGAGGUGAGUGGAAUUCCUAGUGUAGAGGUGAAAUUCGUAGAUAUUAGGAAGAACACCAGUGGCGAAGGCGGCUCACUGGACCGGUACUGACGCUGAGGCGCGAAAGCUAGGGGAGCAAACGGG